GGUUGUUAACGUACAGUAUGGCGGACGAUGUAGAAGGCAGUAGCGGUGGUGAAGGGGGUGGUCCGUCUUUGGAUGAGGAGGAGGCGGCCGGGCUCGCUCGUUUCGGCGUUGGCGGUUUAGUUUUUAAUGUCUGUCUGUUGGUACUGGCUGUACUCGGGGUCUACAGGCUGUACAAGAGAAGGAGGGGCGGUGCGGAGACGGAGUGCAAAGAGCCCGCGCUGCCCAAGAUGAAGAAGCGCGACUUCAGUCUGGAACAGUUGCGGGAAUACGACGGGAUUCAGAACCCGCGGCUCUUGCUCGCCGUCAACGGCAAAGUUUUCGAUGUGACCAAAGGGAAGAAAUUCUAUGGACCCGAUGGCCCGUAUGGUAUAUUUGCUGGCCGCGAUGCUUCAAGAGGGCUGGCUACUUUCUGCCUGGAUAAAGAAGCUCUGAGGGAUGAAUUUGAUGAUCUUUCUGAUUUAAGUGCUGUACAAAUGGAAAGUGUUAGAGAAUGGGAAAUGCAAUUCAUGGUGGUGCAUCAAACGGCAGGCGCAAUGGCCGCCCCAUUAUGAUUUCGUGGGGGGACAAUCCAGUAGUCCUAUUGGCUGUGGCCCUAAUGGUCAUAGGGACCAAAGAAAAGUAUGAUUACAUAGGCCGACUGCUGAAACCAUGGGAUGAACCAUCGGAAUAUACAGAUGAGGAAGAUGUUAAAGAGCAUUCAAAACAGGACUAAAACUGUUCAGCAACCAAAGCAAGAGCCUUCAGUGCUGCAACCCAUUUUCAGAUUUCUGGAGCUUUUGUUUUCUUUAUGAGCUACAAAUGAUAGAAUGUAAAAUAUAUUUUGCAUUCAAAGUAAAUACUCUUGUGUGGAGAAUUAAAUUAAAAUAUCCAGUAAAUGCUGCCAAAAUUGUUUUGUGGUUGUUAUAACAAGUUGGGUAUGGUUGCGCCUAUGUUGGCAGGGAAAAAUGCCCAGGUGUUGUUUUAAGUUGUUCUUUUUGUUUGUUUGCCAGUGGAUAAGGGGAUUAGGAGACAAUGUGCUGAAGCCAUCCAAUAUUACUAAUGUUUCAGGAUUAUUUGAACUGGGUGUUACCAGGUAAGGCCUUGGUCUUGGAAUCUUUGAUUUGAGCAUUUUGUAAUGUACAGCAUUGCAAACAAUUGCCGAUGAUCUUGCUUUUACAGUAACAGUAAGUAGUAAGCGCUACUGAAAGCUAAGGUUUAGAAUUGAUUUUCUUUGAAUACUCUGCACAGUAGUUUUAAAGAUAUUUUCC